rnacentral:rRNA from 1 species
AGAGUUUGAUCAUGGCUCAGAACGAACGCUGGCGGUACCCCUUACACAUGCAAGUCGAACGGCAGUAAAAUGCAGUGGCAAACGGGUGAGUAAUAUACAGGAACAUGCCUUCUAGAUUGGGAUAUCCUCGGGAAACUGGGGGCAAUACCACAUAAUACCCGAAAGGGUCAAAGACGUAAGUCGCUGGAAGAUUGGCCUGUACAAGGUGAGUAGUUGGUAGGGUAACGGCCUACCAAGCUUUGGCCUUUAGCUGGUCUGAGAGGAUGGCCAGCCACACUGGGACUGGGAUACGGCCCAGGCUCCUACGGGAGGCAGCAGUGGGGAAUAUUGGACAAUGGAGGAAACUCUGAUCCAGGGAUACCGCGUGAGUGAUGAAGAUCUUCGGAUUGUAAAACUCUUUUAGCAGGGAAGAAUUUUGACGUUACCUGCAGAAAAAGCACCGGCCAACUCUGUGCCAGCAGCCGCGGUAAGACAGAGGGUGCAAGCGUUGUUCGGAAUUAUUGGGCGUAAAGGGCGCGUAGGUGGUUUUGCAAGUCAACAAUGAAAUACUAAGGCUCAACCUUAGUGCUGUUGUAGAUACUGCAAGGCUGGAGACCGGGAGGGGUAAAUGGAAUUCCUAGUGUAGAGGUAAAAUUCGUAGAUAUUAGGAGGAACACCAGAAGCGAAGGCGGUUUACUAGAACGGUUCUGACACUGAGGCGCGAAAGCGUGGGGAUCAAAUAGGAUUAGAUACCCUAGUAGUCCACGCCCUAAACGAUGACAGCUAGACGUUGGAUUUUAAUCCAGUGUCCAAGUUAACACGAUAAGCUGUCCGCCUGGGAAGUAUAGUCGCAAGACCGAAACUCAAAGGAAUUGACGGGGACCCGCACAAGCGGUGGAACAUGUGGUUUAAUUCGAAGGUACGCGAAAAACCUUACCAGCUCUUGACAUGAUUGAUCGCCGAGUUAAGUAAUUAACUCUUCAUUUAGUUGGAUCUUUCACAGGUGCUGCAUGGCCGUCGUCAGCUCGUGUCGUGAGAUGUUUGGUUAAGUCCAAAGACGAGCGCAACCCCUAUCUCUAGUUGCUAACAGGUAAUGCUGAGUUCUUUAGAGAAACCGACGGUGAUAAAAAGCCGUAGGAAGGUGGGGACGAAGUCAGGUACGCAUGGCCCUUAUGGGCUGGGCUACACAUGUGUUACAAUGGUAACUACCGAAAGAAGCAAUGGGGCGACCCUGAGCAAAUCUAAAAAAGUUAUCUUAGUUCGGAUUGGUGUCUGCAACUCGACACCAUGAAGUUGGAAUCGCUAGUAAUCGCUGAUCAGCACGCAGCGGUGAAUACGUUCUCGGGUCUUGUACACACCGCCCGUCACGUCAUGGGAGUUGGUUUUACUGGAAGUCGAUGAUCUAACCAGCAAUGGAGGAAGUCGCCCAAUGUGAGGCCAAUGACUGGGGCUAAGUCGUAACAAGGUAACC